rnacentral:rRNA from 1 species
GAUGAACGCUGGCGGCGUGCUUAACACAUGCAAGUCGAGCGAAGCAAUUUAAGUGAAGGUUUCGGAUGGAACUGAGAUUGACUGAGCGGCGGACGGGUGAGUAACGCGUGGAUAACCUUCCUCACACAGGGGGAUAACAGUUAGAAAUGACUGCUACUACCGCAUAAGCGCACGGCAUAGCCUGCUGCAGUGUGAAAAACUCCGGUGGCGUGAGAUGGAUCCGAGUCUGAUUAGGUAGUUGGUGGGGCAACGGCCCACGAAGCCGACGAUCAGUAGCCGACCUGAGAGGGUGACCGGCCACAUUGGGACUGAGACACGGCCCAAACUCCUACGGGAGGCAGCAGUGGGGAAUAUUGCACAAUGGGCGAAAGCCUGAUGCAGCGACGCCGCGUGAGUGAAGAAGUAUCUCGGUAUGUAAAGCUCUAUCAGCAGGGAAGAAAAUGACGGUACCUGAGGAGGAAGCCACGGCUAACUACGUGCCAGCCGCCGCAGUAA